CUCCUCGGGAGGCUGCAGUGGGGAAUUUUGGACAAUGGGCGCAAGCCUGAUCCAGCCAUCCCGCGUGCAGGAUGAAGGCCUUCGGGUUGUAAACUGCUUUUGUACGGAACGAAAAGGUUGUUUUUAAUAAAGAGAGCUCAUGACGGUACCGUAAGAAUAAGCACCGUCUAAUUACGUGCCAGCAGCCGCGGUAAUAAGUAGGGGGCAAGCGUUAAUCGGAAUUACUGGGCGUAAAGCGUGCGCAGGCGGUGAUGUAAGACAGUUGUGAAAUCCCCGGGCUCAACCUGGGAAGAGCAAUUGUGAGUGCAUCGAUGGAGUGCGGCAGAGGGGGAUGGAAUUCCGCGUGUAGCAGUGAAAUGAGUAGAUAUGCGGAGGAACACAGAUGGAGAAGGCAAUCCCGUGGGCCUCCACUGACGCUCAUGCAUGAAAGCGUGGGGAGCAAACAGGAUUAGAUACCCUGGUAGUCCACGCCCUAAACGAUGUCAACUGGUUGUUGGGAAUUCACUUUCUCAGUA
rnacentral:rRNA from 1 species